CCCGGGUUGACGCCAUUCUCCUGCCUCAGCCUCCCGAGUAGCUGUAGCUGGGACUACAGGCGCCCGCCGCCACGCCCGGCUAAUUUUUUGUAUUUUUAGUGGACACGGGGUUUCACCGUGUUAGCCAGGAUGGUCUCUAUCUCCUGACCUCGUGACCCGCCCGCCUCGGCCUCCCAAAGUGCUGGGAUUACAGGCGUGAGCCACGGCGCCCGGCCUGACAUUUCUAAUAGUGCAUGUAUUAAGAUGAAGAAGGAGGAGGAUUGGAGAACUGAGUAAAGGAAGAGGAGGACGAAGAAAGAAAAAGAAACCGAGGGACCAUUUUAAAUAAAAGAUAAAUCAAGAGAAAACUGUCUUACCAGAUUGCAUUCCCCAAAGUGAGGGCAGUCCAGAGUGGCACACCAAAGUAUUUCUGAUGCCAGAACUUCACCAUCAGAGACAGCAGUCCUCUUCCCUGGCCUGGACAAGAUCCCCAAGGUACUCACAAUACUUCUCAUGGAUUGAGGCAUGAAAAGGUCUCCUGAUGAAGGACUCAAGUUGGUGGAGAAGCUGAUCGUCCACCUCGAUCUCACUUUUUCCAGUGUAGAAAUGGCCACAGAAACAAGAGAGAUGGCAGCCUGAGAAGGACUCAUCUUUCCUCUCCUGUCUAUCAUUGGCUUUGAAGAUGGAAAAAGAAGGACUUAAGCUAGGGAAUGUGGGUCAUCUUUAGAAGUUGUAAACAAGAAAACGAAUUCUCCCACUGAGCCUCCAGAAAGAAAUGCAGGCCUACUAGCACCUUGAUUUUAGGCCAGUGAGAUUCUCAUAGGAUUUCUGAUCAACCGUGCUGUAAGAUAAUAAAUACUCUUUUUAAAUUCACUAAUUUUGUGGUAACUUGUUAGAGCAACCAUAGAAAUAUGUC
rnacentral:lncRNA from 10 species